UUCCACCUGAUGCUCAAGUGGGCCGGCUGUUUGGAGCAGCUGACGACUAUCACAUUCAUGUCUGGGACUUGUCCAAAAGCACUCUCGUGGGCUCCCUCGAGGGUCAUUUCUCAGUUGUCACCGACCUGCAGUUUCUAGAAGGAGGAAGUAGACUGCUCAGCUCAAGCAGAGACAAGGUUGUUAUUCUGUGGGACACGAUCAAGCUGUCGUCGCUGAAAACUAUACCAGUCUACGAGUCUGUCGAGUCUUUGAUCAUUGUGCCCGACUCUUCCC